CCGCCGCGGUAAUACGUAGGGGGCAAGCGUUGUCCGGAAUUACUGGGCGUAAAGGGCGCGUAGGCGGUUUUUUAAGUCAGAUGUGAAAGUCCAGGGCUCAACCGUGGAAUAGCAUUUGAAACUGAAGGACUUGAGUGCAGGAGAGGAGAGCGGAAUUCCUAGUGUAGCGGUGAAAUGCGUAGAUAUUAGGAAGAACACCAGUGGCGAAGGCGGCUCUCUGGACUGUAACUGACGCUGAGGCGCGAAAGCGUGGGUAGCGAACAGGAUUAGAUACCCUGGUAGUCCACGCCGUAAACGAUGAGUGCUAGGUGUUGGGGAAUCUCAGUGCCGGAGUUAACACAAUAAGCACUCCGCCUGGGGAGUACGACCGCAAGGUUGAAACUCAAAGGAAUUGACGGGGGCCCGCACAAGCAGCGGAGCAUGUGGUUUAAUUCGAAGCAACGCGAAGAACCUUACCAGGACUUGACAUCAACUGACGAUCUAAGAGAUUAGAUUAUUCCUUCGGGAACAGAAAGACAGGUGGUGCAUGGUUGUCGUCAGCUCGUGUCGUGAGAUGUUGGGUUAAGUCCCGCAACGAGCGCAACCCUUGUAUUUAGUUGCUAACAGGUGAGGCUGAGCACUCUAGAUAGACUGCCGGUAAGAAACCGGAGGAAGGUGGGGAUGACGUCAAAUCAUCAUGCCCCUUAUGUCCUGGGCUACACACGUGCUACAAUGGUCUGUACAAAGGGAAGCGAGAUAGCGAUAUGGAGCCAAUCCCAAAAAGCAGAUCCCAGUUCGGAUUGCAGGCUGCAACUCGCCUGCAUGAAGUCGGAGUUGCUAGUAAUCGCGGAUCAGCAUGCCGCGGUGAAUGCGUUCCCGGGCCUUGUACACACCGCCCGUCACACCACGAGGGUUGGCAACACCCGAAGUCAGUGAGCGAACCGUAAGGAGGCAGCUGCCGAAGGUGGGGUUGAUGAUUGGGGUGAAGUCGUAACAAGGUAACCA
rnacentral:rRNA from 1 species